AUAUUCUGGUUGAUUUGCCCUUUGAUAUAGAGCUUUACAGGUGUGUUUUUCUUUCUUUUUAACUUCUUUUUCAGUCAACUUUCCAGACACUACAACUCUCAGCAGAGGCAGAAAUUGAUACGCAUAACCCUACAUUAUUUGUAAUUGGAGAGAACAGCCUAACUAUCCCAGUUACAAUAAUGAAGCCUGAUGAGAAGGCUGAGAUACCAGUUGGUGGUGUGAUUGGCAGUAUAUUGGCUGGACUCUUCUUGCUGUUAGCAUUGAUUGCGGUUUUAUGGAAACUUGGCUUCUUCAAGAGACAGUACAAAAAAUGACCCAGGAUAUAGAAGAUAUGGAUGAAAUUACAGAACUCACAAAGGACAAGGACUGAAGAUACAAGGAUGGGGAUACAGAGAGGACA